CCUACGGGUGGCUGCAGUGAGGAAUAUUGGUCAAUGGGCGGAAGCCUGAACCAGCCAAGUAGCGUGCGGGAUGAAGGCCCUACGGGUCGUAAACCGCUUUUGCACGGGGAUAACACCCUCCACUUGUGGAGGUCUGCAGGUACCGUGCGAAUAAGGGCCGGCUAAUUCCGUGCCAGCAGCCGCGGUAAUACGGAAGGCCCGAGCGUUAUCCGGAUUCAUUGGGCUUAAAGGGAGCGUAGGCGGGCGUUCAAGUCAGCUGUAAAAUCGCGCGGCUCAACCGCGCCCCGCAGUUGAAACUGGACGCCUUGAGUACAGUUGAGGUAGGCGGAAUUCGUGGUGUAGCGGUGAAAUGCUUAGAUAUCACGAAGAACUCCGAUUGCGAAGGCAGCUUACUAAACUGCCACUGACAUUGAUGCUCGAAAGUGUGGGUAUCAAACAGGAUUAGAUACCCUAGUAGUC
rnacentral:rRNA from 1 species